CUACGGUGGCAGCAGUGGGGAAUAUUGGACAAUGGGCGAAAGCCUGAUCCAGCCAUGCCGCGUGUGUGAAGAAGGCCUUCGGGUUGUAAAGCACUUUCAGUGGGGAAGAAAGCCUUGGGGCUAAUACCCUCGAGGAAGGACAUCACCCACAGAAGAAGCACCGGCUAACUCCGUGCCAGCAGCCGCGGUAAUACGGAGGGUGCGAGCGUUAAUCGGAAUUACUGGGCGUAAAGCGCGCGUAGGCGGUCUGAUAAGCCGGUUGUGAAAGCCCCGGGCUCAACCUGGGAACGGCAUCCGGAACUGUCAGGCUAGAGUGCAGGAGAGGAAGGUAGAAUUCCCGGUGUAGCGGUGAAAUGCGUAGAGAUCGGGAGGAAUACCAGUGGCGAAGGCGGUCUUCUGGACUGACACUGACGCUGAGGUGCGAAAGCGUGGGUAGCAAACAGGAUUAGAUACCCCAGUAGUC
rnacentral:rRNA from 1 species